CUCAACGUAACACAAAGUUAAAGCUCAUUUACAAACUAGACACAGGACGGAGAUUAUCAGAGAGCUAACUUGCAGUUAUUCACACGAUGAAAGGAGCACUUUUCCUGGCUGUUGUAGGGAUCAUGAUGAUGGUUGCCAUCUUCCCGGAAGUGACGCAAUCCCACGAUAACUUCUGCUGUUUGUGGAAAGCGCCGUUAUGUCCUCCGAACUGGCCGUGUGUGAUUUCGGAAACAAAUCACCACCAUUGCCAUUGUCACGACCCAAGACCCGACUAAGCGUCAAUGAAAGGACUUCAGCGCUGAAACUAUGACCUGAUGAAUGAGAGGAAAUGUACAUGUAGAUAGAAGUAUACUAGUGAACCCAUGUAUUAUAAUUAUAUGUAUUGUUUACCAAUAUUUUCUGAUUCUGAUAGGAAGGAAGUUGUGUCGUUUAUUCUGAUUUUGUAAAUGUAUUAACACAAUAUUAUAGUUUUU